rnacentral:rRNA from 1 species
AUUGAACGCUGGCGGCAUGCCUUACACAUGCAAGUCGAACGGCAGCACGGGAGCAAUCCUGGUGGCGAGUGGCGAACGGGUGAGUAAUAUAUCGGAACGUGCCCAGUCGUGGGGAUAACGUAGCGAAAGCUACGCUAAUACCGCAUACUAUCUAUGGAUGAAAGCGGGGGAUCGCAAGACCUCGCGCGAUUGGAGCGGCCGAUAUCAGAUUAGGUAGUUGGUGAGGUAAAGGCUCACCAAGCCGACGAUCUGUAGCUGGUCUGAGAGGACGACCAGCCACACUGGGACUGAGACACGGCCCAGACUCCUACGGAGGCAGCAGUGGGGAAUUUUGGACAAUGGGCGCAAGCCUGAUCCAGCAAUGCCGCGUGCAGGAUGAAGG